rnacentral:rRNA from 2 species
CCUACGGGAGGCAGCAGUAGGGAAUAUUCCGCAAUGGGCGAAAGCCUGACGGAGCGACGCCGCGUGAGCGAUGAAGGUCUUCGGAUCGUAAAGCUCUGUUGUUAGGGAAGAACAAGUACCGGAGUAACUGCCGGUACCUUGACGGUACCUAACCAGAAAGCCCCGGCUAACUACGUGCCAGCAGCCGCGGUAAU